AUGAACGCUGGCGGCGUGCCUAAUACAUGCAAGUCGAGCGAACAGACGAGGAGCUUGCUCCUCUGACGUUAGCGGCGGACGGGUGAGUAACACGUGGAUAACCUACCUAUAAGACUGGGAUAACUUCGGGAAACCGGAGCUAAUACCGGAUAAUAUAUUGAACCGCCUGGUUCAAUAGUGAAAGACGGUUUUGCUGUCACUUAUAGAUGGAUCCGCGCCGCAUUAGCUAGUUGGUAAGGUAACGGCUUACCAAGGCGACGAUGCGUAGCCGACCUGAGAGGGUGAUCGGCCACACUGGAACUGAGACACGGUCCAGACUCCUACGGGAGGCAGCAGUAGGGAAUCUUCCGCAAUGGGCGAAAGCCUGACGGAGCAACGCCGCGUGAGUGAUGAAGGUCUUCGGAUCGUAAAACUCUGUUAUUAGGGAAGAACAAAUGUGUAAGUAACUAUGCACGUCUUGACGGUACCUAAUCAGAAAGCCACGGCUAACUACGUG
rnacentral:rRNA from 1 species